rnacentral:tRNA from 1 species
GGGGGUGCAUGGGCUCAGGUGGGCUCCACGGUCUUCAAAACCGCUGGGCGGCAUCCUUGGCGAUGUCGCCGGACGGAUCGUUCCCGUCGCGCCCCCGCCA